rnacentral:misc_RNA from 1 species
CGGUGCUCAUGUGUCCCUGUCACGGGGCUGGCUUGGAAACAUCGAUAGCGCGCGCUCAUCGACUACUAACGUUGUCGUGGGCGUGGCGUGAUCGAUGUUCGAUCUCUCGUGCGCGGAAUGCCCAUCGGCGCGGUGGUUCACCGAACCCCGCUAAAUAGACCCUCGAUGAAAAGUCGUCCGAUGAAAUCUUGAGCGACCAUCGUGCCUGCGAAUGUGUUUGCCGCCGAGAAGGGGCAGCGCAUGCAGUGCCGAUGUCGUACGGGAACGCUACCUGGUUGAUCCUGCCAGUAGUCAUAUGCUUGUCUCAAAGAUUAAGCC